rnacentral:rRNA from 1 species
UACGGAGGGAGCUAGCGUUGUUCGGAAUUACUGGGCGUAAAGCGCACGUAGGCGGCUUUGUAAGUUAGAGGUGAAAGCCCGGGAGCUCAACUCCGGAACUGCCUUUAAGACUGCAUCGCUUGAAUCCAGGAGAGGUGAGUGGAAUUCCGAGUGUAGAGGUGAAAUUCGUAGAUAUUCGGAAGAACACCAGUGGCGAAGGCGGCUCACUGGACUGGUAUUGACGCUGAGGUGCGAAAGCGUGGGGAGCAAACAGGG